rnacentral:rRNA from 1 species
UACGUAGGGUGCGAGCGUUGUCCGGAAUUAUUGGGCGUAAAGAGCUUGUAGGCGGUUUGUCGCGUCUGCUGUGAAAAUCCGGGGCUCAACCUCGAACUUGCGGUGGGUACGGGCAGACUAGAGUGUGGUAGGGGAGACUGGAAUUCCUGGUGUAGCGGUGAAAUGCGCAGAUAUCAGGAGGAACACCGAUGGCGAAGGCAGGUCUCUGGGCAUUAACUGACGCUGAGGAGCGAAAGCAUGGGGAGCGAACAGG